AAAAAUUCCAAAGUCAAAGUGUGCAUCUACACAUUCAAAUUAUCAUAUUUGUUAAGUUUCAUUAAGUUUGGAGCAUUUUGAAGUUUUUGACAUUUUUUGCUGUUUCCAUGGUACGGCGGCCAUUUUGAAAAUUCCAACUUCAAAUGUCAACUUUGCUUAUGCCAGUGACCAUUCCUGUAAAGUUUCAUCCAGUUUACAGCAUUUUUAUUUUUUUUGAAAUUUUUGACCUUUUUGCAUUGUUUCCAUGGUAACAACAGAUAUUUUGGAAAUUCCAACGCCAAAUUCCACAUCUUCCAAUGUUGCUCAUCGUUACUGUGAAGUUUCAUGAAGUUUGGAGCAUUUUGAUAUUUUUGAAAUUUUUGGUAUAGUUUCCAUGGCAACAUAGUAGUUCCAAUGAGUGCCAAAAUCAUCCAACACCUGUAUAUGGCCGGCACCUACAUUGUAUCAAAAUAUAAUGGUUCUGAGUUUAAGCAUAUCAAAACAGUUCACCAAAACAAAAAACAGGAUUUUUUCACAUUUGUUUCGUUUCCAUGGCAACGGCAGCCAUCUUGAUGGUGCCAUACCCCACUGCACUAUAGAAUGUGGUGGUCUACAUUAUGGUAUAGUUCCAUCAAUAUUGUUCAAGCCAAUUCCGAGAAAUAGAAUGGACAAAAAGUGUGGAAGAAUAAAAAUAAUAAUAAUAAUAACUAGAUUUGCCAUUGCAAGCAAUAGCGGAUGGCACCCUUCCCACAUUGCCAGGCGAGCGGCAGCAAUCUAGAAAAUUCCAAAGUCAAAGUGUGCAUCUACACAUUCAAAUUAUCAUAUUUGUUAAGUUUCAUUAAGUUUGGAGCAUUUUGAAGUUUUUGACAUUUUUGCUGUUUCCAUGGUUACGGCGGCCAUUUUGAAAAUUCCAACUUCAAAUGUCAACUUUGCUUAUGCCAGUGACCAUUCCUGUAAAGUUUCAUCCAGUUUACAGCAUUUUUAUUUUUUUUUGAAAUUUUUGACCUUUUUGCAUUGUUUCCAUGGUAACAACAGAUAUUUUGGAAAUUCCAACGCCAAAUUCCACAUCUUCCAAUGUUGCUCAUCGUUACUGUGAAGUUUCAUGAAGUUUGGAGCAUUUUGAUAUUUUUGAAAUUUUUGGUAUAGUUUCCAUGGCAACAUAGUAGUUCCAAUGAGUGCCAAAAUCAUCCAACACCUGUAUAUGGCCGGCACCUACAUUGUAUCAAAAUAUAAUGGUUCUGAGUUUAAGCAUAUCAAAACAGUUCACCAAAAAAAAAAACAGGAUUUUUUCACAUUUGUUUCGUUUCCAUGGCAACGGCAGCCAUCUUGAUGGUGCCAUACCCCACUGCACUAUAGAAUGUGGUGGUCUACAUUAUGGUAUAGUUCCAUCAAUAUUGUUCAAGCCAAUUCCGAGAAAUAGAAUGGACAAAAAAGUGUGGAAGAAUAAAAAUAAUAACUAGAUUUGCCAUUGCAAGCAAUAGCGGAUGGCACCCUUUCCCUAUUGCCAGGCCAGCGGCAGCCAUUUAGAAAUUUUUGCUGUUUCCAUGGCAACGGCGGCCAUUUUGAAAAUUCCAAACUCAAAAGUUAAGUCUACAUAAGCUAGGCAAAAUUUGUUAUAAGUUUCAUUAAAUUUAAAGCAUUUUGAAGUUUUUCAUAAUUUUGCUGUUCCCAUGGUAACGGCGGCCAUUUUGAAUAUUCCAAAGUCAAAUCCCCGCUGCAAUUUUUUCCCUCCAUAAUCAUAUACCAUCAUAUACCAUUUAAUGUCUCUAGAAUAAAUUUAACAUUGAUGUUCUGGAAUGUUCUGUGAAAAUUCAAAGUUUUGACCUUUUUGCAUUGUUUCCAUGGUAACAACAGAUAUUUUGGAAAAUUCCAACGCCAAAUUCCACAUCUUCCAAUGUUGCUCAUCGUUACUGUGAAGUUUCAUUAAGUUUAGAACAUUUUGAGAUUUUUGAAAUUUUUGGAGUAGUUUCCAUGGCAACAUAGUAGUUCCAAUGAGUGCCAAAAUCAUCCAACACCUGUAUAUAGUGGGCACCUACAUUGUAUCAAAAUAUAAUGAUUCUGAGUUCAAGCAUAUGCGAACAGUUCACCAAAACAAAACACUAGAUUUUUUCACAUUUGUUUCGUUUCCAUGGCAACGGCAGCCAUCUUGAUGGUGCCAUACCCCACUGCACUAUAGAAUGUGGUGGUCAACAUUAUGGUAUAGUUCCAUCAAUAUUGUUCAAGCCAAUUCUGAGAAAUAGAAUGGACAAAAAAGUGUGGAAGAAUAAAUAUAAUAAUAAGAAUAAUAAGAAAAAAAGAAACGAACAAUAACAAUAUGUCACCCCAACUCCGUUGAGGGUGCCAUAAUAAUAAUAAUAAUAAUAAUAAGAAAAAAAGAAACGAACAAUAACAAUAUGUCACCCCAACUCCGUUGAGGGUGCCAUAACUAGAUUUGCCAUUGCAAGCAAUAGCGGAUGGCACCCUUCCCACAUUGCCACUAAACUGCAGGCAGUUUGAAAAUUCCAAAGUUAAAGACCGCAUCUACAGAUGUUUAAUAACAUUGUUGUUAAGUUUCCUCAAUUUUGGAGCAUUUUGAAGAUUUUGAAAUUUUUGUUGUUUCCAUGGCAAC
rnacentral:lncRNA from 1 species